CACACACACGCCCACUCCAUUUCCAAACAGUGACUCACCCUAGCCCUGCUGCUGUUCGAAGGCUGGGCUAGAAAAACCGGUUAAGACCUCUAAAGGAAGGGAAAAGACAAAACCAAGGGAGAGAAACUUUGAAACCAGCUGGAACUUUCUGUCCAAAACCAACGUGACCUGGAACUUUCUGUCCAAAACCAAGGUGACCUGUUUUCUUUCCCAACCAGUCCCAAGUUCUCCGGAGAGCAUACAAAUUGUCCUGAUGAUUUUUUGUAUCAUCACAACAACUUUGUGAGGGUGCUGCAAAAGUCUCUGUAGACUCCCAAAGGUACUUUCUGGUAUUUUCUUAUAUUUAUGUUCUUUGCAACUUAUAUUUAUGUUCUUUGCAA